UAGUAUGAACUGGAGAUAAGAAAAUAAAAAGUGGUCACUAGGAUGCAAAAGAAAAAAUUCCCUGCGCUUUCUGUCUGUCUUUGUGGCGGCUCAGAUGGAAUUAGGGAAUACAUUU